GACGAACGCUGGCGGCGUGCUUAACACAUGCAAGUCGAACGGAAAGGCCCUGCUUUUGUGGGGUGCUCGAGUGGCGAACGGGUGAGUAACACGUGAGUAACCUGCCCUUGUCUUUGGGAUAACUUCAGGAAACUGGGGCUAAUACCGGAUAGGAGCUCCUGCUGCAUGGUGGGGGUUGGAAAGUUUCGGCGGUGGGGGAUGGACUCGCGGCUUAUCAGCUUGUUGGUGGGGUAGGUGCUUACCAAGGCUUUGACGGGUAGCCGGCCUGAGAGGGUGGCCGGCGACAUUGGGACUGAGAUACGGACCAGACGCCUACGGGAGGCAGCAGUGGGGAACAUUGCACAGUGGGCGGACGCCUGAUGCAGCAACGCCGCGUGCGGGAUGACCGCCUUUGGGGUGUAAACCGCUUUCGACUGUGACGAAGCGUGAGUGACGGUAAUGGGUAAAGAAGCACCGGCUAACUACGUG
rnacentral:rRNA from 1 species